rnacentral:rRNA from 1 species
CUCUGGGCUUGUAAAGCCCUGAAAUUUGGAUAUAGAUGGCAGGUAGGUGAUGGGAAGAAAAUUAACUUCUGGGAAGAUACCUGGUUUGGUACCUCCCCCCUUUCUGUCCAAUUCUGGCAGCUUUACACCAUCUGUGAUCAGCAAUGUGUUACCCUCUCUGAUAUAUGGGACGGUAACACCAUUAAACUG